GUACAGCUGACGAGUCCCAAAUAGGACGAAGCGUGCGUCCUGGAU
rnacentral:hammerhead_ribozyme from 1 species